rnacentral:rRNA from 1 species
UACGACUACAUAUCAGGCAUAUCAAUAAGCGGAGGAAAAGAAACUAACAAGGAUUCCCCUAGUAACGGCGAGUGAAGCGGGAAGAGCUCAAAUUUGAAAUCUUCAAGGUUCUACCUUGACGAAUUGUAGUUUAAAGAAGUGUUUUCGGUUAGAGGAGUAGUAAAAGUUCUCUGGAAUAGGACAUCAUAGAGGGUGAGAAUCCCGUAUUUGGUCAUUCCUUCUAGCCUUGUGAUACACUUUCAAAGAGUCGGAUUGUUUGGGAAUGCAGUCCAAAAUGGGUGGUAAAUUUCAUCUAAAGCUAAAUAUUGGCGAGAGACCGAUAGCGAACAAGUACCGUGAGGGAAAGAUGAAAAGAACUUUGAAAAGAGAGUUAAGCAGUACGUGAAAUUGUCAAAAGGGAAGCGUUUGACACCAGUGUUGUUUUUCCGAAAAUCAAUUAAAAAUAGAUUCAUGCUAAGUAGUAUUGACCUCAUCAGCUUGCUGCUUAGUUUUGGGUCAUUUUUUGAUGCACUUUUCGGUUAACAAGUCAACAUCAAUUUCUUUUGCCGUAAAAAGGUAGAAGGAAGGUGGCUUUAGUUUCGGCUGAAGUGUUUAUAGCCUUCUGCCCCUGCGGUCGGAGAGAUUGAGGUCUGCAGCGUAGACUCCUUCGGGGCUAGAUACGUUGGUGCUAAGUUAUAGCUUUGUAUAGACAACAUGUUGACUAUGCUUAGUCAUGUAGGCUUACUCGCAGAGAGUAUUUUACCUACGCUUAGGAUGUUGACACACGCGCGUGCUCG